UGUGUAACCUGCCCUUAACUCUGGGAUAAGCCUGGGAAACUGGGUCUAAUACCGCAUAUGACUCCUCAUCGCAUGGUGGGGGGUGGAAAGCUUUAUUGUGGUUUUGGAUGGACUCGCGGCCUAUCAGCUUGUUGGUGAGGUAAUAGCUCACCAAGGCAACGACGGGUAGCCGGCCUGAGAGGGUGACCGGCCACACUGGGACUGAGACACGGCUCAGACCUCCGUACGGGAGGNAG
rnacentral:rRNA from 1 species